CUACGGGUUGCUGCAGUGAGGAAUGUUGCACAAUGGGGGGAACCCUGAUGCAGCAACGCCGCGUGGAGGAUGACGCAUUUCGGUGUGUAAACUCCUUUUAUAUGUCAAGAAAAUGACGGUAGCAUAUGAAUAAGCACCGGCUAACUCCGUGCCAGCAGCCGCGGUAAUACGGAGGGUGCAAGCGUUACUCGGAAUCACUGGGCGUAAAGGACGCGUAGGCGGGUUGGAAAGUCAGGUGUGAAAUCCUACAGCUUAACUGUAGAACUGCACUUGAAACUUCUAAUCUAGAGUAUGGGAGGGGGAGAUGGAAUUAGUGGUGUAGGGGUAACAUCCGUAGAUAUCACUAGGAAUACCUAAAGCGAAGGCGAUCUCCUGGAACAUUACUGACGCUAAGGCGUGAAAGCGUGGGGAGCAAACAGGAUUAGAUACCCCCGUAGUC
rnacentral:rRNA from 1 species